rnacentral:misc_RNA from 1 species
AUGCAACGCGAAAAACCUUACCUACCCUUGACAUGUCUGGAAUCCCGAAGAGAUUUGGGAGUGCUCGCAAGAGAACCGGAACACAGGUGCUGCAUGGUCACGUCAGCUCGUGUCGUGAGAUGUUGGGUUAAGUCCUGCAACGAGCGCAACCCUUGUCAUUAGUUGCUACGAAAGGGCACUCUAAUGAGACUGCCGGUGACAAACCGGAGGAAGGUGGGAUGACGUCAAGUCCCUAUGGCCCUUAUGGGUAGGGCUUCACACGUCAUACAAUGGUCGGGACAGAGGUCGCCAACCCGCGAGGGGAGCCAAUCCUGCAGAAACCCGAUCGUAGUCCGGAUCGCAGUCUGCAACUCGACUGCGUGAAGUCGGAAUCGCUAGUAAUCGCGGAUCAGCAUGUCGCGGUGAAUACGUUCCCGGGUCUUGUACAUGACCGCUCGCUGUCACACCAUGGGAGUGGGUUUUACCAGAAGUAGUUAGCCUAACCGUAAGGAGAGUGGCGAUUACCACGGUAGGAUUCAUGACUGGGGUGAAGUCGUAACAAGGUAA